AUCCACCCAAGACCCGGUUCCUCGAUUCCCAUCCUUACGACCGAGGAAAAAAGAGUAAAUUUUCCUAUUAUAGCCUUCUCUCGCACCUUCCCCGCUUCCCACCAGCCGUCUCCACUGUCCUCACCGUCCCCAUCCUCAUCCAUGGCGAAAUCUUCGCCCCCAGCCUCGUGAAGAUCUAGCACGUCCGCCAUCUCGCCUUCGAUCGAGAUCUCGUCUGUGCCGCUCAGACACUAGAUGCUGUUGACUGGGGCAAAGAAUAAUGGGAGAAAAACAGCUGGGUCCUAAAUAACAGAGGGAAACCAACUUUCAAUAAAGUAUUCAACAACUAAUCCACAAAGCAGAUAACUGAACUUGCUGGCCUGCUCUAUAGUGCUGUUGCUUAAAAAGUCAUCUGUGAAGAAAACCAGAGGGAGAAAUUUCACCUGCCAAAGUGGAUAAAGAGAUGGGAAAAGUGAGGCCCAGAGAUUUGCCCCAUUGAUAUUCAGAAGAAUGACUGUGCUUGCAGCAAGAAAUAUUGAGGGAUGAGGUACUACCUUCACUCAGAUAAAGAACUUGCUUGCUUCAGCUUGUUGUAAAAUGGCAAGUUCCCCAAGCUGUGGGUUCUAUAAGUGUUCCUCUGUUGUGAAGCAACCCAUGGCCUAUGCAAGUAUCCACCUGAGUCCUCUGCAUUGGACUUGGGAGGAGGCAAGGAGAACUAAUAUAAACAUGAUGCUCAUGCUACUUGCUGUGCUAUGAAUAAUAAAUUCCUUU
rnacentral:lncRNA from 1 species